rnacentral:rRNA from 1 species
CCUACGGGAGGCAGCAGUGAGGAAUAUUGGUCAAUGGACGAGAGUCUGAACCAGCCAAGUAGCGUGAAGGAUGACUGCCCUAUGGGUUGUACACUUCUUUUAUAUGGGAAUAAAAUGUUCAUCGUGUGGGAUUUUGUAUGUACCAUAUGAAUAAGGAUAGGCUGACUACGUGCCAGCAGCCGAGGUAAUACGGAGGAUCCGUGCGUUAUACGGAUUUAUUGGGUUUAAAGGGAACGUAGGUGGAUUGUUAAGUCAGUUGUGAAAGUUUGCGGCUUAACCGUAAAAUUGCAGUUGAUACUGGCAGUCCAGAGUACAGUAGAGGUAGGCGGAAUUCGAGGUGUAGCGGUGAAAUGCUUAGAUAUCACGAAGAACUCCGAUUGCGAAGGCAGCUCACUGGACUUCAACUGACACUGAGGCUCGAAAGUGUGGGUAUCAAACAGGAUUAGAUACCCCGGUAGUC